GGUUUCGGCCUGAGUACACUGGCGCACGGGUGAGUAACGCGUGAGGAAUCUGCCUGUAAGUUUGGGAUAACACACCGAAAGGUGUGCUAAUACCGGAUAUACUAUGUGCACGCAUGUGUAUAUAGGAAAGGUGGUGUGAGCUACCGCUUACAGAUGACCUCGCGUCCGAUUAGCUAGUUGGUGGGGUAACGGCCUACCAAGGCAACGAUCGGUAGCCGGCCUGAGAGGGUGGCCGGCCACACUGGAACUGAGACACGGUCCAGACUCCUACGGGAGGCAGCAGUGGGGAAUCUUGCGCAAUGGGCGAAAGCCUGACGCAGCGAUGCCGCGUGAACGAAGAAGGCCUUCGGGUCGUAAAGUUCUUUCGCUGGGGAAGAAAGUUAUAUGUAGUAACUGACAUAUAAUUGACGGUACCCAGAUAAGCAGCCCCGGCUAACUCCGUGCCAG
rnacentral:rRNA from 1 species